rnacentral:lncRNA from 1 species
UUGAGGUACAAUAGGAAACUGUAAAUCAGUAAUCUUGUGGAACAAGUAAUAAUCAGAUAUUUCAAAGUUUUAUCAUGUAGAACCAAGAGGAAAAUUCUGUGAAAAAAAAAACAAAAGAUUGAUAGCUACACGUCUUCUAAAAAUAAAAGAUUACUACAACACGUACGCAUCGGAGACCAAUCAUUCUGAUUAAGAAAAAAAAAAUCAGUUGAUUCACACAAUAAAUAUGUUCAGACUUCAGAUAUGUAUUUGGGUUACGAAUGUAUGCUUGAAAAUAAAUAUCAAAACUAAUCAUGUUCAAACUUUAAAUUUUUCAUGAAAGAUAUCUAAUAUGGUAAUACAGUUUUUAUAAAGUCAUAAAUUAUAUAUACAGAUAAAACUUUUGUUUUUGAGUCAAGAACCACGUCUGCUCUAUUUACACAUAUUAAAAACUAUAUUUGUUUUACUGACACUAUCCACGAGCAAACUUCAUGGAGAUUUU